rnacentral:rRNA from 1 species
AAUGAACGUUGGCGGCGUGGAUUAGGCAUGCAAGUCGUGCGGAAAGGCUCCUUCGGGAGUACUCGAGCGGCGAAAGGGAGAGUAACGCGUGGAUAUCUACCCCCUGGCCUGGAAUAGCGGCGGGAAACUGCCGGUAAUACCAGAUAAUAUCUGCGGAUCAAAGGUGUGAUUCCGCCGGGGGCUGAGUCCGCGUCCUAUUAGCUAGUUGGGGAGGUAACGGCCCACCAAGGCUGAGAUGGGUACCGGGUGUGAGAGCAUGGCCCGGCUCACUGGGACUGAGACACUGCCCAGACACCUACGGGUGGCUGCAGUCGAGAAUCUUCGGCAAUGGGCGCAAGCCUGACCGAGCGACGCCGCGUGCGGGAUGAAGGCCUUCGGGUUGUAAACCGCUGUCAGAGGGGAGGAAAUGCAUGGGGGUUCUCCCUCAUGUUUGACCUAUCCUCAGAGGAAGUACGAGCUAAGUUCGUGCCAGCCGCCGCCGUAA